AGGCGUAUAUUAAAGUUGUUGCAGUUAAAAAGCUCGUAGUUGGAUUUCUGGUACAACGCGCCUGGCCCGCUUUUAGUGAGUGCCGGUGCGCGUUUGCCAUCCUUCUAGAAAACGUUUCUACCUGGGCAACCGGGCCGGACUCGCGAUCUAGAUCUUUUACUUUGAAAAAAUUAGAGUGUUUAAAGCAGGCUUUUGCUGUGAAUACAUUAGCAUGGAAUAAUAAUCUAGGACUUCGGUUCUAUUUUGUUGGCUUCUAGUACUGAAGUAAUGAUUGAUAGGGAUAGUUGGGGGUGCUAGUAUUGGCCGGCCAGAGGUGAAAUUCUUGGAUUCGGUCAAGACUAACUUAUGCGAAAGCAUUCACCAAGGAUGUCUUCUUUAAUCAAGAACGAAAGUUGGGGGAUCGAAGACGAUCAGAUACCGUCGUAGUCUCAACCAUAAACUAUGCCAACUAGGGAUGGGUGAACGUUGUUUUUUUGACUUCAUCUGCACCUUAUGAGAAAUCAAAGUCUUUGGGUUCCGGGGGGAGUAUGGUCGCAAGGCUGAAACUU
rnacentral:rRNA from 1 species